rnacentral:rRNA from 1 species
AUUGAACGCUGGCGGCAGGCCUAACACAUGCAAGUCGAACGAGUGGCGGACGGGUGAGUAAUGUCUGGGAAACUGCCCGAUGGAGGGGGAUAACUACUGGAAAAGGUAGCUAAUACCGCAUCCCAUAGUAUGUGCCAAGAUGGGAUUAGCUAGUAGGUGGGGUAACGGCUCACCUAGGCGACGAUCCCUAGCUGGUCUGAGAGGAGGACCAGCCACCAUGGAACUGAGCCAUGGUCCAGACUCCUACGGGAGGCAUCAGUGGGGAAUAUUGCACAAUGGGCGAAAGCCUGAUGCAGCCAUGCCGCGUGGAUGAAGAAGGCCUUCGGGGUGUAAAGUACUUUCAGCGAGGAGGCGUUACUCGCAGAAGAAGCACCGGCUAACUCCGUGCCAGCAGCCGCGGUAAUAC